rnacentral:rRNA from 1 species
GCAANGGCGCAGCCUGAAUCCAGCCAUGCCGCGUGUGUUGAAGAAGGCCUUUUGGUUGUAAAGCACUUUAAGCGAGGAGGAGGCUACUUAGAUUAAUACUCUAGGAUAGUGGACGUUACUCGCAGAAUAAGCACCGGCUAACUCUGUGCCAGCAGCCGCGGUAAUACAGAGGGUGCGAGCGUUAAUCGGAUUUACUGGGCGUAAAGCGUGCGUAGGCGGCUUNUUAAGUCGGAUGUGAAAUCCCUGAGCUUAACUUAGGAAUUGCAUUCGAUACUGGGAAGCUAGAGUAUGGGAGAGGAUGGUAGAAUUCCAGGUGUAGCGGUGAAAUGCGUAGAGAUCUGGAGGAAUACCGAUGGCGAAGGCAGCCAUCUGGCCUAAUACUGACGCUGAGGUACGAAAGCAUGGGGAGCAAACAGGAUUAGAUACCCUGGUAGUCCAUGCCGUAAACGAUGUCUACUAGCCGUUGGGGCCUUUGAGGCUUUAGUGGCGCAGCUAACGCGAUAAGUAGACCGCCUGGGGAGUACGGUCGCAAGACUAAAACUCAAAUGAAUUGACGGGGGCCCGCACAAGCGGUGGAGCAUGUGGUUUAAUUCGAUGCAACGCGAAGAACCUUACCUGGUCUUGACAUAGUAAGAACUUUCCAGAGAUGGAUUGGUGCCUUCGGGAACUUACAUACAGGUGCUGCAUGGCUGUCGUCAGCUCGUGUCGUGAGAUGUUGGGUUAAGUCCCNCCAACGAGAANU